rnacentral:rRNA from 1 species
GGAAGCCGUCCUGUCAGGGUAUGGUGGAGCGUCCAGAAAAGCACAUGUAGGCAUGAGUAACGAUAAAAUGGGUGCGAAACCCAUUCGCCGAUAGACUAAGGUUUCCAAUUCAACGCUAAUCGGAAUUGGGUUAGGCGGGACCUAAGGGAGAGCCGAGAGGUGUACCCGAUGGCAAGCCAGUUGAUAUUCUGGCCCCCGGACUAGAAAGUGAUGCAGGGACGCAGGAAUGAAAGUGCCGCGAGCGGACGGAAGUGCUCGUUAAAGCCCGUACCUAUUGAGAUGGUAGUUAAGUACGCCAACUUAGGG